UCUAUAAGACGAAGCUUCCUCUGCUCAUGAUCAAUCAUGACAUUAUGGGGCUUCACAUCUCGAUGCAUAAUACCUUGUGAGUGGCAGUAAUCCAAUGCCUACACAAAGGAUCUUUAAUAACUGAAGAUUAUACUAGUAUUGAAAAGAUAAUGGUUCAAGAUAUGGACAUAGCGAGUAACAAAUAACACUUGAAGAUGACAAUUGCACAUUUAAUCUGAAACAGGGAGAGACGAUACACCAAUGCUACUUAAGUGUGAGAAACCAAAAAAAAUAAGCAGCACAAAAUUACAUGCCCUAAAGCAUAGCACCAACACAUAAAAGCACUUCAAAAUGGUCUUACACUGACCCAAAGCACCAAAAGGCUAACAAACUGAAGGAGACGCAUCAAAAGUUUAUCCCGUAAUACAAUCCUACCUUACAGUGUGUAAAGAAAAUUGCAACGAAAAAAACCAUUACGCUUUUAACUGCUGUUGAUUAUCAUUUAUCAAGGAACUGCAAAUAAGGUGUUCUUAUUCCUAAUUCUUCUGUUUAUGUUCAUGCCCCAAAACAAUCUGAAGAAUACUUCUAUCCUCUCAAACGUGGCAUGUUUAGAAACAUCAUGCCUAGCAAGGACAACAUCCUAAAGAAACCCUUCAAAUCCGAAAACAACUAUGGAUCCAACUUCCAAUAAUGUCAUUAGGAUAACUCGCAAAGCUCACUAAUUUGGAUAAAAGGCAGCAAAUAUUAGGUUGAAAGGAUAAAAAGAAAAGGUAGACACUGUGAUCUAUCAGAAGGCAAAACCUUACAUAUAGAGUUGAUCUUAAUUUUGCAUUGUGUGAUAGAUGAAAUUUGUGUUCUUAUUGUUUAGCUGCUAAAGUCUGUAUUGUGUUGGCUUCGGCUUCACAAUGCUACCUUAAUCAGUGUUGUGAAAGGCGCACGCUAGGCGCAAGGGGCAACAGAGGCUGCGCCUCUGACCAGGUGAGGCGAGCGCCCUCAUCCAGGAGCACCCGGGCACAGCGAGGAGCAAGACACGCCUAGGCACGCUCAAAUGAGGUGAGGCAGGCAUAUAAAAGGGCAUAAAAACAGAACCCUAAUUUAUUUUAUCCCACGGGAGGCAGCAAAGAAAGAAAAAAGGAAACUUUUUUCGACCAUCCACACAACAAGAGAAGCUCCCAAAAGAAAAAGGAGAAGAGAAGAAGAAGACAAGAAGACAAGAAAAAACCUUACCUUUUGUCACCCAUCUUUCCAUCCAACGCCUUUACACUAUACAGGUAAUUCUUUUUUUCUUUUUCUUUUUCUUUUAGGGUUGAUCAUCUUUUAUAAGCCUCAAUUCCAUGCUUAUAAAUGAUCGUGAUUACUUUUUUGGAUCAUUUGGCUGGAUUAUGUAUUGAGUUUAGUAUAAUUGUUGGAACUUGGUGGUACGAGAAGGAUUUUAGAAUGUUGUGUUUUUGUUUGAUUCCCUUAAUUAGCUACUCCCGCCGAAUUCACAGAAGGUUUCAUUUCCCUGUAAAUUUUUCUUCCUCUUGUGCUCUUAAAAGUGUUGAUACUGCCGAGAAGACCAAUUGCAAUGUACAUAAUUUUAAUUAUGCGGAAUUGCAGAACAGAAUGCAGGAUUGUGCUACUUCUGGUGACUUCUCACAAGCUCUCUUCACUUUUAAUUUCAUGAGGAACAUGCCUGGAAAGCCUACUGUAUACGAUUUUAAUGCUUUCAUGUAUUGUUAUUUGAAGUCUACGAAUGUUUCUUUUCAUGUGUUGAUAGAUGUUUACCUUGGAAUGAAGAGGUUUGGGCCUGCCCCAAAUGCUCCAACUUUUAAUACGCUUUGUAAUGGCAUGCUAUCAUUUGGAAAUUUGAAAGAUUCACUUUUUAUUAUUGAAGAGAUGUGUGGAAGUGGGUUUGUGCCAUCGUUUGAAAUUUUGUCAAAAUUGUUGAAAAAAUCACUUCAAUUCGGGAGUUUGAUGGAUUCACUUUAUGUUUUUGAGAUUAUGUUGAAGUUAAGCUAUGUUCCUACUGAGCCAACUUUUAAUAUGAUGAUUUGUAUGCUAAGCAAAGCUGGGAUGAUACAUGAAUCAUACUUAGUGUUUUCUGUUCUUUUUGAUAUGGGUUAUUUCUUCGGUGUACAUACGUUCAAUCCAAUUCUAUGGGCAUUGUGUAAGUCUAAUCAGAGUUAUACUGCUCUGCAAUUGUUUUACUCAAUGAAGAAGAGAGGUAUUCUGUAUAAUGUGUGCUCCUAUACAGCUUUGGUUUAUGGAUUUUGUAAGGAAGGGUUUCAGGAAGAUGCUCUACAGUGUUUAGAUGAGAUGCAAGGUAAUGGUUGUAAGCCCAAUGUCAUAACAUACACUGUGCUUAUUAAGUUUCUUUGUGAUAAUGGGAGGAUUAAGCAGGCAUUCAAAAUUGUGGGUAAGAUGGAAAGAGAAGGAUGCAACCCAGACUUGCUCACAUACAAUGUAAUUAUUCGUGAGCUUUGUCAUCAAGGUAGAAUGUCAGACAUUUUUGAGUUCAUUCAUAUCAUAGAUCAAAAGGGAUUUUCUCUCGAUUCAUACACACAUGCUGCCUUGGCUGGAGGCCUCUUAAAGAAUGGCAAAGUCGGGUUUGCUUAUGAAUUGUUGUUUGAUACAAUUUCUAAAGGCUUCAGUGUGGAUGUUGCUCUUUAUAAUAUAUAUCUCCAUUGUUUAUGUCGUCAGAACAGAUUGACAGAAGCAUUAACUAUGUUGAACAGAAUGAUAGAAGAAGGCUUUAUGCCAACUAAUGUGUCAUAUAACAUAAUUUUGGAUGGUUUUUGUAAGGAAAACGGUGUUGAUGAGGCUUUAGAGCUCUUGGACCAUUUUAAGUGGGAAGCGAAUGGGCCCGAUGUAGUUUCCUUCAAUACAGUUUUAUUUACGGCAUGCAAACAGAGUAAUUCCCAGAUGAUACUGAAGAUUUUAUAUCGAAUGAAGCAUGAAGGUAUUAAGUGUGAUGUUGUCAGUUUGACUUGUCUGAUCCGAUAUUUCUGCAGAGUAAGGAAAUUUUCAGUGUGUUUAAAGCUAUUAGAAACUAUGAUGCUUAGUGGCCUUAUUCCAACUAUAACUACUUUUGAAUUGGUAUUGGACAGACUUUGCAAGAAUGGAUUAACAGAAGAUGCGCUCCAAAUUUUUAAUUGUUUUAGAAACUUAGGAUUUCUUCCUAGUGUGGCAUCAUAUAAAAUUUGAAUCCAUGCUUCCAUUAGAGUACACGAUAAUUCCCUUGAAAGUCAAUUGCUUUGGGACAUAUGUAACCAGAGACGAAAACCAGAUGGUUCUACGCAUAGAUCCUUGAUUACUGCCCUUUGUAGGGAAGGAAAGGUAUCAGUUGCACAGAAAAGCUGGGCUUACUUCAAGAAAAGUAGAUACUUGGGUGACUUAUUGCUAAGGUUCAUGAUACUAGAAGGGUGUCAACUUGAUGUGCAACUCUAGAAAUCCUACAUCAAGCACAAUUAAAGGGUUGGAUGAAGAUUUUGUCCAAGGUUGGACAGAAGUCUAAGAGCUUGUCAUAGGCCACAUUUGAUAACAAAGAAACGCAUCUUGGGGCAAUACAAGCUAAUUGAAAAUUUUGGAGUAUGUUAUACUGCCUCAUUGUAUAACUUAUAUCUGCUUUUUUUUUUUUCUUUGGUGAGGACUGUUGCAUUGAAGAUUCAUAUCCUGAAUCAGGUAUGAAGAAUUUAAAUUUAAAGUUUGCUUUUUUACACUUUCUGGAUAUUUGGAGGGUUAAAAUGAUGCUUUGCUGAGUGUUUCUCCCCCCACCUUCAACCCUACUCCCCUAACCCUUUUUCUUUUCAAAGGGUAUCACCUGUACAUGGGAAUGAGCCUUCACAAGGACUUAUGCUAAGUUUUAUGUAAAUGGCCUUAAAGCCCUUGGUUUAAAAGUAUUACCGCUAUUCAGAACUGCACUUUUUUUUGGUAAUUUUCUUUUGUUCACAUUGUGCAUAUCUUGGUGCCAAAGCAUUCAAAUCUCAAGAGUGAGCACUUAUGUAGGAUCUAUCAGGUUGAAGUGGUUAUAAGCAGGAGUGAGCAUGGGUCAGUAUGGUUUAGUUCGGCCUGAAAAUUUGAAAAAAUUGAAAUUUAUAGUAGACCAAACCAAACUGAACCGAAUUAGGUAGAAAACUGAGUUGAGCUGAAUCGGUUCAGUUCAAUUCAUCAGUUUGGGUUUGAAGGAUUAUUGGAUUUGCUUUUCUUUGCUACGAAAAUGCCUUAACUUCUAAGCUGUUGAUUUUUAAGUUUUCAGCAAUAGUUCUGUGAAAUUUAACUUAUUUUAUGAUGUUUAUGUGGUGAACUUGCAGUUAAAUCAACUGAAGCUGAAAAGGAUUUGGAGCAAUUUUGCAUUGAACCAAAUAUAGAUGUUCUCCUUAGUGAUUUGAAGCUUGUGUUAGGAUCAGAGUUAAGGAUAGUUUAUCCGAUAAUUCUCAAUUUUGCUGUUAGUGGAGAGCUUGAGGUAAAUGGCUUUGCUCAUCCAAAAUGGACAAAACCUAUAGGUGUUCUCACAUUUGAGAAUGGUGAUGUCAAUCUUGUUGCCACUCAAGUGGGGCUUAAGCAAGAGCAUCUAAAUAUAGCAAAAUUUGAACCUGAGCAUGGACUAGAUCCUAUGCUAGACUUAGCUUUGGUUGGAUCUGAGUGGCAAUUUAGGAUUCAAAGCCGGGCCAGCAAUUGGCAAGACAAACUGGUGGUGACCUCCACACGUUCUGUGGAACAGGAUGCUCUCUCACCUAGUGAGGCUGCUAGAGUUUUUGAGAGUCAAUUAG
rnacentral:misc_RNA from 1 species